GGGCAAGCGAGGCAAGAUGGGCCACCAGCCCCCACGGGGUCCCCGAGGGCACAAGGGCUCCCCAGGUGCCAAAGGGCUUCCAGGACCCCAGGGCCCCCAGGGCCCCUAUGGCAUCCCAGGGCUGAAGGGCAUGAAAGGAG